rnacentral:rRNA from 1 species
UUCCGGUUGAUCCUGCCGGACCCCACUGCUAUCGAGGUGGGACUAAGCCAUGCUAGUUGAACGACCCGGACUAUGGCGGGGAGUGGCAAACUGCUCAGUAACACGUAGCUAACCUGCCCUCGGGACGGGAAUAACCCUGGGAAACUGGGGCUAAUACCCGAUAGGUGUGGAUUCCUGGAAUGGUUUCACGCCUAAAUGCAACCACAUCCAUGUUUGUGGACACGCCCGAGGAUGGGGCUGCGGCCGAUCAGGCAGUUGGUGGGAUAAAGGCCACCAAACCUUUGACCGGUACGGGCCAUGAGAGUGGUAGCCCGGAGAUGGGCACUGAGACAAGGGCCCAGGCCCUACGGGGCGCAGCAGGCGCGAAACCUCCACAAUUCAUGCAAGUGAGAUGGGGUUACCUCGAGUGCCGCCUGAAGAAGGUGGCUUUUCCACGGUGUAAUGAGCCGUGGGAAUAAGGGGGGGGCAAGACUGGUGUCAGCCGCCGCGGUAACACCAGCCCCCCGAGUGGUGGGGAUGAUUAUUUGGCCUAAAGCGUCCGUAGCCGGCCCGGUAAAUCUCUCGUUAAAUCCAGCGUCCUAAGCGUUGGGCUGCGAGGGACACUGCCGGGCUAGAGGGUGGGAGAGGUUAGCGGUAUUUCUGGGGUAGGGGCGAAAUCCAUUGAUCCCAGGAGGACCACCAGUGGCGAAGGCUGCUGACUAGAACACGCCUGACGGUGAGGGACGAAAGCUGGGGUAGCGAAUCGGAUUAGAUACCCGAGUAGUCCCAGCCGUAAACGAUGCAGGCUAGGUGUUGGGUUGGCCACGCGCCAGCUCAGUGCCACAGGGAAGCCAUUAAGCCUGCCGCCUGGGGAGUACGGCCGCAAGGCUGAAACUUAAAGGAAUUGGCGGGGGAGCACCACCAGGCGUGAAGCCUGCGGUUUAAUUGGAGUCAACGCCGGG